CCUACGGGAGGCAGCAGUGGGGAAUAUUGCACAAUGGGGGAAACCCUGAUGCAGCGACGCCGCGUGAGUGAAGAAGUAUUUCGGUAUGUAAAGCUCUAUCAGCAGGAACGAGACAAGACGGUACCUGACCAAGAAGCCCCGGCUUACUACGUGCCAACAGGCGCGGUCAUACGUAGGGGGCAAGCGUAAUCCGGAAUCACUGGGUGUAACGGGAGCGUAGGCGGCUGUGCAGUGCUGAAGUGAAAGGCGGGGGCCCAACCCCUGGACUGCUUUGGGAACUGUACGCCUGGAGUGCAGGAGAGGUAAGUGGAAUUCCGGGUGUAGCGGUGAAAUGCGUAGAUAUUAGGAAGAACACCAGUGGCGAAGGCGGCUUACUGGACUGAAACUGACGUUGAGGCUCGAAAGCGUGGGGAGCGAACAGGAUUAGAUACCCGAGUAGUC
rnacentral:rRNA from 1 species